GGACAUUAGACUGAUCUCUUUGGUCUGAGUUCGGUAUGGCUUUCCCAUUCCAAAUCAGUUGAGUGUCUGGACUCGAGCGAAGGUUCAGACUCUCUUAGAGCGGAGGAGACUGUGUGAGGCUCGUUUCACAGAGCAGCGUCCAUCUCCCGCUUUCGACGAUGGAAGGAUUACGGGCUGUUGCCUCCCGAACCCACUAUGACUCAAUAAGUCGGCUCCAAUUGGAC
rnacentral:SRP_RNA from 1 species